GUGGAUAUAGUUUAAUUAAAACAUUAGAUUGUGAUUCUAGUAAUAGGGGUUCAAAUCCUCUUGUUCACC
rnacentral:tRNA from 1 species